rnacentral:rRNA from 1 species
UGGGGAAUUUUGGACAAUGGGCGCAAGCCUGAUCCAGCCAUGCCGCGUGCGGGAAGAAGGCCUUCGGGUUGUAAACCGCUUUUGUCAGGGAAGAAAAGGUUCUGGUUAAUACCUGGGACUCAUGACGGUACCUGAAGAAUAAGCACCGGCUAACUACGUGCCAGCAGCCGCGGUAAUACGUAGGGUGCAAGCGUUAAUCGGAAUUACUGGGCGUAAAGCGUGCGCAGGCGGUUAUGCAAGACAGAGGUGAAAUCCCCGGGCUCAACCUGGGAACUGCCUUUGUGACUGCAUAGCUAGAGUACGGUAGAGGGGGAUGGAAUUCCGCGUGUAGCAGUGAAAUGCGUAGAUAUGCGGAGGAACACCGAUGGCGAAGGCAAUCCCCUGGACCUGUACUGACGCUCAUGCACGAAAGCGUGGGGAGCAAACAGGAUUAGAUACCCCAGUAGUCCCUGAGCGGGCUGGCAAGGCGCAU